AUUGAACGCUGGCGGCAGGCUUAACACAUGCAAGUCGAGCGGAGACUUCGGUCUUAGCGGCGAACGGGUGAGUAAUACCUAGGAAUCUGCCUAUUAGUGGGGGAUAACGAAUCGAAAGGUUCGCUAAUACCGCAUACGUCCUACGGGAGAAAGGGGGGGAUCUUCGGACCUCUCGCUAAUAGAUGAGCCUAGGCCGGAUUAGCUAGUUGGUAGGGUAAAGGCCUACCAAGGCGACGAUCUGUAGCUGGUCUGAGAGGAUGGCCAGCCACACUGGAACUGAGACACGGUCCAGACUCCUACGGGAGGCAGCAGUGGGGAAUAUUGGACAAUGGGGGCAACCCUGAUCCAGCCAUGCCGCGUGUGUGAAGAAGGCCUCGGUUGUAAGACACUUAAGCGAGGAGGAAGGUUUUAGUUUAAGUUAA
rnacentral:rRNA from 1 species